rnacentral:misc_RNA from 1 species
UGGUUCUGGCAUCGAUGAAGAACGCAGCGAAAUGCGAUAAGUAAUGUGAAUUGCAGAAUUCAGUGAAUCAUCGAAUCUUUGAACGCAUAUUGCGCCCUUUGGUAUUCCGAAGGGCAUGCCUGUCCGAGCGUCAUCGCACCUCUCAUACCCCCCCGGGUGUGAUGUUGGGCGACGCCCGCUUGCGGCCAGCCUUAAACUUAACGACGGUCACCAGCCAACCUCAGGCGUACAAGCAUCGCGAUGAUGGAAAGCUGGGGCCCGUCCCACGUUUUUUAAUGAUUGUUGACCUCGGAUCAGGUAGGGAUACCCGCUGA